CUUUUCCUAUUUGGAACCAGUCUGUUGUUCCAUGUCCAGUUCUAACUGUUGCUUCCUGACCUGCAUAGGCAUAGCAAUAUCUUUAAGCUCUUUAUAGAACUAAAGUGAAAAAGUGAAGUCGCUCAGUCGUGUCCGACUCUUUGUGACCCCAUGGCCUGUAGCUUACCAGGCUUCUAGGUCCAUGGGAUUUUCCAUGCAAGAAUACUGGAGUGGGUUACCAUUUCCUUCUCCAGGAGAUCUUCCCAACCCAGGGAUUGAAUCCAGGUCUCCCCCAUUGUAGGCAGACGCUUUACCGUUUGAGCCACCAGGGAAGUCCUAUAGAACUAAACCCCCAACAAAUGCGAGAUGUCAGCAGUUCUUCAUUCUAGAGAAGACCAUCUGAAGUCAGAUUAAAGGAACCAGAGAAGCUCAUCAAGAGAUUACCUGAGAGCAGAUUAAAGGAGUGCAGGCUCUGCACACACCCUGAUCCUUAUCAGCAAGCCACUCUUGAACUAUUGCUAUAAAACUCCUCACCAAAUCCUCCCGGGUUUUGACUGUUUUCAAGGGCAGGAGCCUGCCGUGUCUCCCUUUGCCUGGAAAAGCAAUAAAGCUCUUCUUUUCUAAUUCACCCCAACUCUGUCUCCAAGAUUUGAUUUGGCACCAGUGCACAGAGGCUGAGUUUUCUGCAUCAGAAGACACAACUUGGAUACUUCCACACUCACCUUGGGAUGAUAGUGAUAUUGGCUCAAAAUGGCAAGGCCAUCUUUUGGUUAUUGUUCCCAAGAAAUGGCUUUCAACCACUAGAUUGCUUUCCACACAUGGGUUUCUUUUUUAUUUCCUGGUACAAGACAAUUCUGGUUGCUUCAGGAGAAACGCUUGACUGCAUGACAGGUGGGUAUUCUGUGAAGGGUUCCUGUUUUCUUGAUGGGCCCAGAGCCUAUGUGUGGGACCGCCUGGGAGCACCCUACAUGGAGCACACAGAGGGCAAGACUAUGGCCGGUGGGCUGUUUUCUCCCUCUACUUUUAAGAGAACAAGGGUUUGCAGCAGCAUCAGCAAUAUCUCACCAGGGCAGCCAGGGAACCAGAGUCCAGGGGAAGCUUAAUGGAGCAGACAUGCACCGGCUGUGGGCUGUAGACUGUAGUGCAGCAGAGACUAAGAAAGCCAUCGAAGCCCUUGUUACUCUGAGGAUCAGCAUCGUGUGUGGCACUUGGGAACUUAUUAAGAUGCACAGUCCUCAUUCCUGACUCAUGGAUCCAAAUCGAGGUGUGGACAAGAUCCUGAUGCAACUCCUGUGCACAUUAUAGUUUGAGGAGCACUGCUGCUCUAAUCAGACCCCAGCACAGACACUGCUCCCUCCAGGAAGUCUUCCUGGUACUCCUUUCAAUACCCCAGCACUCUGUUACCUGGAUCUCCUCUGUGUCCUCACUGGCCUUGUUGCUGCAGGUCUGCAUGUCCCUUCCUCAGAGGUGAGCGCUAACCCAGAUCAUUCUGUGCUCACCUUGCACACGACCUGAUUCAGAGCAUAUUCUAAUCAGAAGGCCCACUGGACCAGUGAACCAAUGAAUGGGCAGGUGAUCAAUGAGACAGACAUAACAGCCUGAAAUUCAUGGAAGGCUAGGUGUUUAUUUUUGCUGCUUCUCAGACAAGCUCCUCAAGGUAAAAACAAAACAUACAGUUUCAAUAGCAUAGAUUUUAAACGUUCAGCCUCAUACCAUGGCAUUUCAGGUUUCCAGAGCACUUUGGUUCAGGCACUUUUGUACCUAGAGGCACAGAGAAUUUCCCAGGCUGGAGGGGAGUGACUUAUUCUCAUGGGGGUGCUGUUGUCAGCUGCCUGGUGAGGUACGGAAGAGCAGCA